AUAAUCCAUUGCAUCCUGCUUAGAAGUAAUGGUUCCAGCAGCAAUUUCAGCAUUCAAGUGGUCGGCCAGCACAUCUAACAAGCUGAAGAACAGGAAACAAGAGGACUUUGCUGACUUUACAAUCACAAAGACAGGAAAAUUUAUGAUCUUUGUGGCGGAGACUAUCGUUUGCAUACUUGAAGACCACCCACUGCAAUAGUAACCAAGCCUACACCUAAUAUAAAUACAUAAAUUCCCCCUUCUCUCCCUCUAUUUGACAUGGAUCUCGUUUGUUAUCAUGAAAUUAAAGAUGAUAGUGAGUAAAAGAACUCA